rnacentral:rRNA from 1 species
UCCUGGCGGCGAGUGGCGAACGGGUGAGUAAUACAUCGGAACGUGCCCAAUCGUGGGGGAUAACGCAGCGAAAGCUGUGCUAAUACCGCAUACGAUCUACGGAUGAAAGCAGGGGAUCGCAAGACCUUGCGCGAAUGGAGCGGCCGAUGGCAGAUUAGGUAGUUGGUGAGGUAAAGGCUCACCAAGCCUUCGAUCUGUAGCUGGUCUGAGAGGACGACCAGCCACACUGGGACUGAGACACGGCCCAGACUCCUACGGGAGGCAGCAGUGGGGAAUUUUGGACAAUGGGCGAAAGCCUGAUCCAGCCAUGCCGCGUGCAGGAUGAAGGCCUUCGGGUUGUAAACUGCUUUUGUACGGAACGAAAAGGUCUUUUCUAAUAAAGAAGGCUCAUGACGGUACCGUAAGAAUAAGCACCGGCUAACUACGUGCCAGCAGCCGCGGUAAUACGUAGGGUGCAAGCGUUAAUCGGAAUUACUGGGCGUAAAGCGUGCGCAGGCGGUUAUAUAAGACAGUUGUGAAAUCCCCGGGCUCAACCUGGGAACUGCAUCUGUGACUGUAUAGCUAGAGUACGGUAGAGGGGGAUGGAAUUCCGCGUGUAGCAGUGAAAUGCGUAGAUAUGCGGAGGAACACCGAUGGCGAAGGCAAUCCCCUGGACCUGUACUGACGCUCAUGCACGAAAGCGUGGGGAGC